rnacentral:rRNA from 1 species
AGAGUUUGAUCCUGGUUCUAAGUGUACGCUGGCGGCGUGCUUAACACAUGCAAGUCGAACGAGAACGGAACUAGCUUGCUAGUUUGUCAGCUAAGUGGCGCACGGGUGAGUAAUAUAUAGUUAAUCUGCCCCAAAGAAGAGAAUAAUUGUUGGAAACGACUUGUAAUGCUCUAUAUGCCUUUAUUACAUAAGUAAGCAAGGGAAAUAUUUAUAGCUUUGGGAUGAGACUGUACGGUAUCAGUUUGUUGGUGAGGUAAUGGCUCACCAAGACUAUGACGCCUAACUGGUUUGAGAGGAUGAUCAGUCACACUGGAACUGAGACACGGUCCAGACUCCUACGGGAGGCAGCAGUGGGGAAUAUUGCACAAUGGACGAAAGUCUGAUGCAGCAACGCCGCGUGGAGGAUGACACAUUUCGGUGCGUAAACUCCUUUUAUAUGAGAAGAUAAUGACGGUAUCAUAUGAAUAAGCACCGGCUAACUUCGUGCCAGCAGCCGCGGUAAUACGAGGGGUGCAAGCGUUACUCGGAAUCACUGGGCGUAAAGAGCAUGUAGGCGGGUAGUUAAGUUGGAAGUGAAA